rnacentral:rRNA from 1 species
AGUGAACGCUGGCGGUAGGCCUAACACAUGCAAGUCGAACGGCAGCACAGUAAGCGCUUGCUCUUACGGGUGGCGAGUGGCGGACGGGUGAGGAAUACAUCGGAAUCUACUUUUUCGUGGGGGAUAACGUAGGGAAACUUACGCUAAUACCGCAUACGACCUACGGGUGAAAGCAGGGGAUCUUCGGACCUUGCGCGAUUGAAUGAGCCGAUGUCGGAUUAGCUAGUUGGCGGGGUAAAGGCCCACCAAGGCGACGAUCCGUAGCUGGUCUGAGAGGAUGAUCAGCCACACUGGAACUGAGACACGGUCCAGACUCCUACGGGAGGCAGCAGUGGGGAAUAUUGGACAAUGGGCGCAAGCCUGAUCCAGCCAUACCGCGUGAGUGAAGAAGGCCUUCGGGUUGUAAAGCCCUUUUGUUGGGAAAGAAAAGAAGCAGGUUAAUACCCCGCUGUUCUGACGGUACCCAAAGAAAAAGCACCGGCUAACUUCGUG